rnacentral:rRNA from 1 species
UGGGGAAUAUUGCACAAUGGGCGCAAGCCUGAUGCAGCCAUGCCGCGUGUGUGAAGAAGGCCUUCGGGUUGUAAAGCACUUUCAGCGAGGAGGAAGGUGGUGAGCUUAAUACGCUCAUCAAUUGACGUUACUCGCAGAAGAAGCACCGGCUAACUCCGUGCCAGCAGCCGCGGUAAUACGGAGGGUGCAAGCGUUAAUCGGAAUUACUGGGCGUAAAGCGCACGCAGGCGGUUUGUUAAGUCAGAUGUGAAAUCCCCGGGCUCAACCUGGGAACUGCAUUUGAAACUGGCAAGCUAGAGUCUCGUAGAGGGGGGCUAGAAUUCCAGGUGUAGCGGUGAAAUGCGUAGAGAUCUGGAGGAAUACCGGUGGCGAAGGCGGCCCCCUGGACGAAGACUGACGCUCAGGUGCGAAAGCGUGGGGCAGCAAACAGGAUUAGAUACCCUGGUAGUCCACGCUGUAAACGAUGUCGAUUUUGGAGGUUGUGCCCUUGAGGCGUGGCUUCCGGAGCUAACGCGUUAAAUCGACCG